GACGAACGCUGGCUGCGUGCUUAACACAUGCAAGUCGAACGCUGAAGCCGACAGCUUGCUGUUGGUGGAUGAGUGGCGAACGGGUGAGUAACACGUGAGUAACCUGCCCCUGAUUUCGGGAUAAGCCUGGGAAACCGGGUCUAAUACCGGAUACGACCAUCCCUCGCAUGAGGGUUGGUGGAAAGUUUUUCGAUCGGGGAUGGGCUCGCGGCCUAUCAGCUUGUUGGUGGGGUAAUGGCCUACCAAGGCGACGACGGGUAGCCGGCCUGAGAGGGCGACCGGCCACACUGGGACUGAGACACGGCCCAGACUCCUACGGGAGGCAGCAGUGGGGAAUAUUGCACAAUGGGGGAAACCCUGAUGCAGCGACGCAGCGUGCGGGAUGACGGCCUUCGGGUUGUAAACCGCUUUCAGCAGGGAAGAAGCGAAAGUGACGGUACCUGCAGAAGAAGUACCGGCUAACUACGUGCCAGCAGCCGCCGUAA
rnacentral:rRNA from 1 species